AGAUUACCUGUGAGGCAAGGACAGUGAGUCACAUAAUUAACUGUUAGCAUAGUGUCUGAGAUGUGUUACAAUGUGAAGGAAGCUGCUCAAAUUGGGAACCUGACUCCAAACCCAGUCAUCCAGGAUACAGACCUCAUUCAUCCACAUCUUCCCCCAAACUGUCAUUUCUCUUUGCAAACAGACAUUGCAAUGUUCCAAAUGAACUCAACCCCUGGAUGCAGAACUGACCCAGGAGUGGUAAGUGGCAGGAUUUCGAGAACAGUCCUUUGAAAGAUUAGAAUAAAAGGUCAGAGCAGGACAGUUGUGGUAGCAGCUAUGAACCCAGUUACUCAUGAGGCUGAAGCAGGAAGAUUAAUCGAACCCAUGAGUUUGGGACCAACCUGGGCAACAUAGAACUUAUCUCUUAAGGAGUUCAAAGCAUUAAAUAAUGGGAGGCUUUUACAUACCAUUGGUAAUAAAAUAAUAGGACAUAGUUAUGGGUUAAUUGAAAGGCAUGCAAACUUCAUGUAGUCUGAAAACCAGAAAAUGUUGCCAAUAGAAAUUAGAGACCUAAAUAAAUAUUUGUACCCAAUUUAUGGAUUGAAAAAUUUAAUGUUGUUAGGAUGUUUGUUGUCCCUGAAGUGAUUUAUCGAGUCAAUACAAUCAAAAUCAAAAUACCAGCAAGUUUUGGUAUAGAAACUGACAAACUGAUUCUAAAAUUCAUGUGGAAAUAUAAGUAAUAUUUAAAACAAUCUUGAAAAAGUAGAAAGAAGUUAGAGGACCUACUACUUUAUUUCAAGACCUGUGAUAGAGCUGCAGAGAGCAAAACCGUGGGCCACUGGUGUAAAGAAAGAUACACAAAAUAGACUCACUAUAUAGUCAAAUUAAUUCUUGACCAAAUGCUAUCAUAAUUCAAUGGGGGAAAAUAUUGUAUGUGAGCAACUGGAGAUCCACUUACAAAAUGAUGAAUCUUGACCCUUGCUGCGUACACAAGCAGUAACUCAAAGUAGAUUGUAGGCCUAAACAUAAAAAACAAAAACUAUAAAAUUUCUAGAAGAAAACAGGAGAAAAUCUUCAUGACUUCUUAGGAUAGAAAAAGCACUAACUAAAAAGGGAAAAACAAUAAAUUGGAUUUGAAAAAAAUAAAAUUCUGCUCUUCCAAAGAUGCCAUUUAAAACAAAGGAUUUCAGAGCCUUAUAAAACAUCACUUAAACACAUAUAGCAACAAUGUGGUCGUACAAGCUUGUCAUCUCAGCCCUCUGGAAGACUGAGGAAGGAGGAUCCAUGUUUGAGCCAAGGCUAAGGAACUUAGCAACUUAGCGAAAUCUGUCUCAAAACAAAAAAUAAAAAGGAUUUGGAAUAUAGCUCAGUAGACGGGCCCCGAGUUCAGUCCCCAAUAUAGAAAACAAAACAAAAAACACACAAGGACUUUGCAUAUUUUUAAGAAGAAAGUUAUAGUGUCUCUGCUAUAUGUUUCAAUCCAACUAGACAUAUCAACCUUAUUUUCUGUUCAAGUGGACCAACAGAACAUGUAGUAUUAGAGGGUCAUUCUUGGGUGCUGGGGAUUUAGCUCAGCGGCAUAAGCACCUGCCUUGUAAGCAGGCGGUCGUGAGUUCGAUCCCUGGUACCGGUAAAAAUGAAAAAGACAAAAAAAAAAAAAAAAAAAAAAAAGAGGGUCAUUCUUGAAGUUUUAACUCGCAUGGCCGAAAUAGAAUCAGUGCCAGUUAGCCAGAAUGACUGCAGAUUGCGGUCAAAAGGGAAAACAUUUGUCCAAAACAUCUGAACAAGUGGGGAUGAAUACUUGGUCCAGCAGUGAGAGUAUUAAGUGGGAAAUGUGAAUCAGCAUGUCUGAAGCCAGACAGACUGGGAACAAAGUGUGAAGGGGGAAAGUGAAGGGCAUGCGAGGUCAAGGUGAUUCAGCAGUGAGGCUCCAAGCAGUGCAAGAGACGAUGGACCCCAUUUCGUAGGUGCUGCCUCUUGACAGCUUAAAACUUCCAGGCAGAAUGAGACAUGUGCAAUCUAAGAUUUUUAAGGUCUGGCACAAUUUAAAACCUCUACCAGUUAAGCAAAUUGAUUGCUAAAGAUUUCUUGUCAGGCACCUGGACAGCUACCACUGAAUUUCUCUUGAGCUUUAACCUUGAUGCCUCUUCAUUCUCUGGCACUCACUACCUUUGACUAAUACAGACAUAGUGGUGCUAACAAGCCACAUUUCUCCAGCCUGCAACUUCAGUGUUUAUCAGUGUAGUAAAACUCUUUUUAGGGCUGGGCCAUAAAUAUAGAGAUGAUAUUCCUUCUCCAUCCUCUCCUUCCUUCCUGUCUCGAGGAACAUAGUCUUUCAGUACCAGGAAUCAAACUCACGGCUGCCUGCUUACAAGGCAGGCUCUUAUGCCACUGAGCUAAAUCCCCAGCCCCUAGGAACAUAGUUUUUAUUGUCCAUCUUCCCAUAAGGUCUUAUUACUGUCUCAUCAUGGGACUGGGUUUUGACCAAUAGUGUGCGGGAGGAAGUAACGCACUGCUUCCAAACACAGUCGUCACAAGCUCCUUAAGUCUGACCUAUGUCUCUGUUCAUCAGCCAACUGCAGGCAGAGGAGUUAAGGGAGGACUUCAAGAUGGAAGAAGCUUGCCUUCCAUGAUAAAACACCAAAAAUAUCCAAUCUUACUGUGUUUGAAGGUGAGGGAAACACUUGUUUACUUUAAAGAGCUACUAAGAGUUGAGGUUUAUUCCAGGAGCAUUACCCUAAUGCAAGUCUAUGGAGCUCUACCUCAUAGCUUGAAGGUUCUACAGGUAUCUGAAGGGUUUUGUUUUGUUUUGUUUGUUUUAUCAGUACCAGGGUUCAAACUCACGACCGCCGGCUUGCAAGGCAGGUGCUUAUGCCGCUGAGCUAAAUCCCCAGCCCAGGUAUCUGAAGUUUGGACAAAGAUCACUUAGCUGCAUCAGUGAAGAGCCAGAAUUUGGAUGGAGGUUCCAUAAAAAAGUUCGGUGAACGCUGUUGCAGAGUGCCAUCCACCAGAAAGGCAGGCUCAUAAAAACAUCACAUAUGGUGCAUCCUCCUCCACCUACUUCCCAGGAUCUGGCACCGUAGGACUCUGGCUCUUCCCCAAAGUCAAAACGGCCAUGAAAGGAAAAGCACCCACAGAGGCAAGGUUUCCUAAGGCUUUGAAGUCAAGGACUUCACUCCAGGCUCCUGCUUACCAACUCCAAGAACUCCAGGUGUUCUGGAAUUCUCAGAGAUAGGACGUCUGUAUGGAUUCAGAUUGCAGAGCAAUUGUGCACAUCACCUUCCCAGCGUGCCUGAGGCUCAGCGAGGACUCGAUCCGUGCAAGGAGCCUUGUAGCAGCAGCAAAGCCUGCACUGUCUCCGAGAGCCAGCUGGCUGACAACUCCAAAGUCACAACACCUCAUCAGGCACAGCAGUCAUUCCAUAGCAUCUUCACAGCAGCCUCCGGAGAGGUGCUGACGGAGUCUUCAGCCGACCAGGCGAGAUCCCCACUUAUAAAAGCUUCCAGACCUCCGCAGUAAUUUCCCCCUCUCUCUGCUACCCUGGGGCCUUUUCCAUCUUAGCUCUAUUUCUCCAGCAACAGGACAGAAAAGACUCUUGUUUUGAGCAAGUGUAAAAGAAGGAGCGUAGACUUGGACCACUCAGGAACUGGCUUUGCAGCCUGACUCUGCCAGAAACAACCUGGGAGGAGUCAAGUCAACCUCUCUGAGCCUCGGUGGCUGGUUAGACUACAGGAUGGCGCCAUGGCGACAUAUUAGUAACAGUUGUCCCACAAUUACUGGAGUGUGAUGGUGUAAACACACGCAGACUUUGAGAUCAGAGUCCUUUGGGUUUACUCUGGUCUGAAUAUUUGUGUCUCCUCAAAAUUCAUGUGUUGAAAUCCUAACUUGUAGAGUGGUGGCUUUAAGAUUGAGAGGUUAUGGUUCUUGAGAGUAGAGCCCUCAUGGAAAGGAUUAGUGUCCUUUACAAAAGAGGCACCCCAGCCCCCUUUCCCAUGGGGAGAUACAGUGAAAAGGCCAUGCUGAAAGUGGACCUUAGCAGACACUGGAACCUGCGGAUGUUUUCUCAAACUUCCUAGUUUGUAGAAGUGUGAGGAAUGAGUUUGUCAGUCACAGCCUGCCAGUUUGUGGUGUUUCCUUGUAGCAGUCCAAAGGGAUUGAUGAGCUCCACCAUUGACUCUAUCCUUUGAAGGCACAGGACCUCCCCUCUCUAAGUUUUUCCCUUUGUCAAAUGGAGAAUAGUGCUACCUCUUACAAAGGCGUUUUUGGGAAGAUUAGAGGAGAUAAUUAGACGUGAAGCUUUGCUCUCCUGGACACAAAGACCGCUGUAAAGGUCAGUAAUUAUUUUCAUUAUAGUUUUGUUAUUUCACAAGCCCCAUGGCAUAUAGUAUGGUUUCCCAGCUGCAUGUGGUAGAUGCUCAACGAAUAGCUGUGGAAUAAGUAGAUGGAUGAAGGCGUGAAUGAAAGAGUCACCAGCAUUCUCAGUCUGAAACACUUUCUCAUGCCAAAUCUCUGUUGCCUCAGUACCCCUAGAAUCUCAGUAGCCUCAAAAUUUUCAAAUUUUUUAUUUCCCCCUGACCUGAUCAGGUACAUUUUUUUUUUUAAUCGGUAUGGGGGAUUGAACUCACGACUGCCUGCUUGCACGGCAGGUGCUUAUGCCGCUAAGCUAAAUCCCCAGCCCCUAGGUACAAUUUUUGACAUAGCCUUAAAACAUGGACCUUACUUCUCUGUUCUUGGUGAACUUGGUGAGUUAUUUCUUUUUGGGGGGAAUGGGGUUGAGACAGCAGGGUCUUUCUGCAUAUUUAAGGCUCCACAGCAGUCUUCCUGCCUCAGCCUCUCGAGUGCUGGGAUUACAGGCAAGCACGACCACACCUGACAAUUACUCAUUUCUAACAGAAAAUAAAGCAGGAGGAACAGUGUGGCACUCCUAAGACGAGGUCCUAGAGACCUUAAGGCUUCCAAAUUGGUCUCUCUCUUGGACGGCCCGCUCAGGGAAGGCAGCUGCUAGGUUUUGAGCAUGCUCACACGGCUCAGUGGAGCUGACACGUAAGGAGACCAAGGCCUCCUGCUAGCAGCCACGUGAGUGAGUGCACUAUCACUGAAGCAGAUAUUUCAGCUCCAGUGAAGGCUUCAGAUGACCACAGCCCGGGCCAACAAUUUGACUGUAAUCUCCUAAGGCACCCUGAGCCAGAACUACUCAGAUGUCCCACUACCAGUUUCCUGACUCACAAAAACUGUGAGAUAAAUAAAUGUUUUCAGUUGUUAUGUUUGAGGAUAAUCCAUUUUAUGGCAAUAGAGAAAAUUAGCACAAUCUGUACAGGUAUUUUUUCCCCACUGUGAUACUGGGGAUUAAACCCAGGAUCUCACACGUGCUAGGCAAGUACUCUAUCCCUGAGCUUCAUUCUUCGCCCCUCCUCCGACACGGCAGAUUGAAUCCAGAGCCUUCACGCUGAUCUACCCCGUGCUGUUUAUUCUUUCAUCUGUCUUUCAUUUUGUUCUUUAACUUAUUUAUACUCCAGGUUUCUCACAUAAGAGGAACCAUACAGUGUUUUAAGCUUGUGUGUCUGAUUUAUUUUACUUAACGUUAGGGUUUCAAGGCGCAUCUAUUUUUCUACAAAUCACACAAAUUUAUCAUUCUUUAUAACACAGUAGUAUUCCAUUGUGCAUAAAUAUUGCAUUUUAAUUGUUCAUUAAUCUACUGAUGAACAUAGGCCAGCCACUUCCAAGAUUUAACUGUUAUGAAUUGUGCUAUUGUGCUGCUAUAAACAUGAGUAUGCAUGUA